rnacentral:rRNA from 1 species
AGCCCACCUCUAGCCUCACUUACUCCUAACAACUAACUAAAAAUAGACUUUCCCCACCAACUAAAACAUUUUCCCCCAACUUAGUAUAGGCGAUAGAAAAGGAACCCUCCCCCGAGCGCAAUAGAGAAUACGUACCGCAAGGGAAAGAUGAAAUAACAAUGAAAACCUCAAGCAACAAACAGCAAAGAUAAACCCUUGUACCUCCUGCAUCAUGAUCCAGCAAGAACAACCAAGCAAAACGAACUUAAGCUUGCCCCCCCGAAACCCAAGCGAGCUACUUGUAAGCAGCUGUACCCGAGCAAACCCGUCUCUGUUGCAAAAGAGUGGGAUGACUUACUAGUAGAAGUGAAAAGCCUAUCGAGCUGGGUGAUAGCUGGUUACCUGCGAAAUGAAUCUUAGUUCCCCCCUAAUCCCUCCCCAACAGACACUCGACCUGGCAUGAGAAGAUUAAGAGUAAUUUAAAGGGGGUACAGCCCCUUUAAAAAAGGAUACAACCUUCACCAGAGGAUAACCAACUCAUCUCACGAACAGUAGGCCUUAAGGCAGCCACCACUAAAGAAUGCGUCAAAGCUCAACACCCUAAAAAUCCAAUAAACAAUAUGACUCCCUCCUUACUAGCAGGUCAAUCUAUGCACAUAGAAGAAUCAAUGCUGAAAUGAGUAACUAGGAGUUCACUCCUCUCAAGCGCAAGCUUACAUCACACAAUUAACAGACUAUCAACCCUUAUGCCUUAACCCAACAAGAACAAAACAUUUUUUCCUCUGUUAACCCAACCCAGGAGCGCCAACUAGAAAGAUUUAAAUCUGUAAAAGGAACUAGGCAAACCAAAGGCCCGACUGUUUACCAAAAACAUAGCCUUCAGCGUACCAAGUAUUGAAGGUGACACCUGCCCAGUGACAUCAGUUUAACGGCCGCGGUAUCCUAACCGUGCGAAGGUAGCGCAAUCAAUUGUCCCAUAAAUCGAGACCUGUAUGAAUGGUUGAACGAGGUCUUAACUGUCUCCUACAGAUAAUCAGUGAAAUUGAUCUCCCUGUGCAAAAGCAGGGAUACACCCAUAAGACGAGAAGACCCUGUGGAACUUAAAAAUCAGCAGUCACCGCACACAAAUCUUCCCCUAAGGGGCCACAACCCUUCGCACGCUGACUGCCAUUUUUUGGUUGGGGCGACCUUGGAGAAAAGCAAAUCCUCCAAAACUGAGAUCACACCUCUUAACCUAGAGCUACACCUCAACGUGCUAAUAGCAACCAGACCCAAUAAUAAUUGAACAAUGAACCAAGCUACCCCAGGGAUAACAGCGCAAUCCCCUCCAAGAGCCCCUAUCGACGAGGGGGCUUACGACCUCGAUGUUGGAUCAGGACAUCCUAAUGGUGCAGCCGCUAUUAAGGGUUCGUUUGUUCAACGAUUAACAGUCCUACGUGAUCUGAGUUCAGACCGGAGCAAUCCAGGUCGGUUUCUAUCUAUGAUGAACUCUUCCUAGUACGAAAGGACCGGAAGAGUAAGGCCAAUACCACACAGCACGCCUUCAAAAAGUCAGUGAAUACAACUCAACUACCACAUCACUUCAUUAACCCUAGACAAGGGCG